rnacentral:tRNA from 1 species
UCCCUGGAGGUCUAGUGGUUAAGACUCUGGGUUUCCACUGCAGGGGCCACAGGUUCGAUCCCUGGUCAGGGAA